GGUAGCAUGCCAGAGUGGUUAAUGGGUGAGAUUUGAAUCUACUCUUCUCUAUCUCAUGGCUUCGGCCUCGCAGGUUCGAACCCUGCUGCUAUCG